CGCCUGUUUAUCAAAAACAUGUCCUUUUGAGAAUAAUUUAAGGUCUGACCUGCUCAAUGAGUAUUUAAAUAGCCGCAGUAUUUUGACUGUGCAAAGGUAGCAUAAUCAUUAGUUUUUUAAUUGAAAGCUGGAAUGAAUGGUUGAAUGAGAAAAUUUCUGUCUCCUUUAUAUUAAUUUAGAAUUUUAUUUUUAAGUCAAAAAGCUUAAAUGUUUUAAAAAGACGAGAAGACCCUAUAGAGUUUAAUAAGAUAUGUUUAAUUUUUCUAGGAUUAUUUUGAAUUUUAAAAUUUAUCUUGUUUUGUUGGGGUGACAUUUAAAUUAGAAAAACUUUAAAUUAUAAAAACAUAGAUUUAUGAAUUAUUGAUCUUCAAAUUGGGAUUACAAGAAAAAAUUACCUUAGGGAUAACAGCGUAAUUUUUUUGGAGAGUUCUUAUCGAUAAAAAAGAUUGCGACCUCGAUGUUGGAUUAAAGUUAAAUUUUGAUGUAGAAGUUAAAAUAUUAAGUCUGUUCGACUUUUUAAACUUUACGUGAUCUGAGUUUAGACCGG
rnacentral:rRNA from 1 species